rnacentral:rRNA from 1 species
GACGAACGCUGGCGGCGUGCUUAACACAUGCAAGUCGAACGGAAAGGCCUCUUUCGGGGGGUACUCGAGUGGCGAACGGGUGAGUAACACGUGAGUAACCUGCCCGUGACUUUGGGAUAACUUCAGGAAACUGGGGCUAAUACCGGAUAGGAGCUCCUGCUGCAUGGUGGGGGUUGGAAAGUUUCGGCGGUUGGGGGUGGACUCGGGGCGUAUCAGCUUGUUGGUGGGGUAGUGGUUUACCAAGGCUUUGACGGGUAGACGGCCUGAGAGGGUGACCGGCCACAUUGGGACUGAGAUACGACCCAGACUCCUACGGGAGGCAGCAGUGGGGAAUAUUGCACAAUGGGUGGAAGCCUGAUGCAGCAACGCCGUGUGCGGGAUGACGGCCUUCGGGUUGUAAACCGCUUUCGCUCAUGACGAAGCUUUGUGUGACGGUAGUGGGUAAAGAAGCACCGGCUAACUACGUG